rnacentral:rRNA from 1 species
GACGAACGCUGGCGGCGUGCUUAACACAUGCAAGUCGAACGGUGAAAGAAGAGCUUGCUCUUCUGGAUCAGUGGCGAACGGGUGAGUAACACGUGAGUAACCUGCCCCAGACUCUGGAAUAAGCGCUGGAAACGGCGUCUAAUACCGGAUACGAGACAGAGCUGCAUGGCUACUGUCUGGAAAGUUUUUCGGUCUGGGAUGGACUCGCGGCCUAUCAGCUUGUUGGUGAGGUAACGGCUCACCAAGGCAACGACGGGUAGCCGGCCUGAGAGGGCGACCGGCCACGCUGGGACGGACACACGCCCCGGCCCCCUCGGGGAGGCAGAGGGGGGGAUUUUGGCACAAGGGGGGAAGCCCGGAGGCACCGCCCCGGGGGGGGGGAGCGGGCCUUGUGUUUUAUAACCCCUUUCCAGAGGGAAAGAAGGGAAGGUCCCGUUCCCGCAAAAAAAAGCCCCGCCUAACUACGUC